UCACUUGAAGAAGCUGGAUGUA
rnacentral:siRNA from 1 species